rnacentral:lncRNA from 10 species
CUAUGCAGGCUCUUAUUUUGUUCCACAUGAAUUUUAGAAUUGUUUUUUCUAAUUCUGUGAAGAAUGAUGGUGGUAUUUUGAUGGGAAUUGGAUUGAAUUCGUAGAUUGCUUUUGGCAGUGUGGUCAUUUUCACAAUAUUGAUUCUACCCAUCUGUGAACAUGGUAUGUGUUUCCAUUUGUUUGUGUCAUCUAUGAUUUCUUUUAGCAGUGUUUUGUAGUUUUCCUUGUAGAGGUCUUUCAAAUCCUUCGAUAGGUAUAUUCCUAAGUAUUUUUUUUUUUGGCAGCUAUUGUAAAAGGGGUUGAAUUCUUGAUUUGAUUCUCUGCUUGGUUGCUGUUGGUGUAAGAAGAGCUACUGAUGUGUGUACAUUAAUCUUGUAUCUGGAAACUUUGCUGAAUUAUUUUAUCAGUUUUAGGAGCUUUCUGGAGAGCGCUUUAGGGUUUUCAAGGUAAAUGAUCAUAUUAUCAGCAAACAGUGACAGUUUGACUUUUUCUUUACUGAUUUGGAUGCCCUUUAUUUCUUUCUCUUGUCUGAUUGCUCUGGCUAGGACUUCCAGUACUAUGUUGAAAACGAGUGGUGAGAAUGGGCAUACUUGUCUUGUUCCACUUCUCAUAGGGAAUGCUUUCAACUUUUCCCCAUUCAGUAUCAUGUUAGCUGUGGGUUUGUUAUAGAUGGCUUUUAUUACAUUGCCUUAUGUCCCUCAUAUGCCAAUUUUGCUGACAGUUUUAAUCAUAAAGCGAUGCUGGAGUUUGUCAAAUGCUUUUUCUGCAUCUAUUGAGAUGAUCAUGUGAUUUUUGUUUUUAAUUCUGUUUAUGUAGUGUAUCACAUUUAUUGACUUGCGUAUGUUAAGCCAUCCCUGCAUCCCUGGUAUGAAACCCACUUGAUCAUGGUGGAUUAUCUUUUUGAUAUGUUGUUGGAUUCAGUUAGCUGGUAUUUUGUUAAUGAUUUUAGCAUUUAUGUUCAUCAGGGAUAUCAGUCUGUGGUUUUCUUUUCUGGUUAUGUCCUUUCCUGGUUUUGGUAUUAGGGUCAUGCUGGCUUCAUAGAAUGAAUUAGGGAGGGUUCCCUCUUUCUCUAUCUUGUAGAAUAGUGUCAAAAGGAUUGGUACCAAUUCUUCUUUGAAUGUCUGGUAGAAUUCUGCUGUGAAUACAUCUAGUCCUGGACUUUUUUUGUUAGUAAUUUUUAAAUUACCAUUUCAAUCUCGCUGCUUGUUAUUGGUCUGUUCAGGAUAUCUAAUUCUUCCUGAUUUAAGCUAGGAGGGUUGUAUUUUCCCAGGAAUUUAUCCAUCUCUUCUAGGUUUUCUAGUUUAUGUAGGUAAAGGUGUUCAUAGUAGUCUUGAAUGAUCUUUUGUAGUUCUGUGGUGUCAGUUGUAACAUCUCCCAUUUCAUUUCUUAUUGAUGUUAUUUGGAUUUUUCUCUCUUCUUUUCUCUUUUUUUCUUUUCUUGUUUGAAAUCUUGCUUAUGGUCUAUAAGUUUUAUUUAUCUUUUCAAAGAACCAGCUUUUUCUUUCAUUUAUCUUUUGUAUUUUUUUUCAUUUGACAAAUUUUUCAACUCAUGAAAUUGUUACAAUUUCAUUUAGUUCUGCUCUGAUCUUGGUUAUUUCCUUUCUUCUGCUGGGUUUGGUUUUGGUUUGUUCUUGUUUCUCUAGUUCCUUGAGAUGUGACCUUAGAAUGUCAGUUCGUGCUUUUUCAGUCUUUUUGAUGUAGGCGUUUAGGGCUAUGAACUUUCCUCUUAGCACUGCGUGUGUCGUAUCCCAGAGGUUUUGAUAGGGUUUAUCACUACUGUCAUUCAGUGUGAAAUUUUUUUUAAUUUCCAUCUUGAUUUCAAUUUUGAUCCAAUGAUCAUCUAGACGCAGGUUAUUUAAUUUCCAUAUAUUUGCAUGGUUUUGAAGGUUCCUUUUGGAGUUGAUUUCCAGUUUUAUUCCACUGUGGUCAGAGAGAGUGCUUGAUAUAAUUUCAAUUUUCUUAAAUUUAUUGAGGCUCCUUUUGUGGCCUAUCAUACCGUCUAUCUUGGAGAAAGUUCCAUGUGGUGUUGAAUAGAAUGUGUAUUCUAUGUGAGCUGUAGUGACUGUUAUCUCUAUUCUGGGUCUAGCCACCCAGCAAGUCUACCAGGCUCUGGGCUGGUACUGGGGAUUGUCUGCACACAGAGUCCUGUGAUGUGAACUGUCUAUGGGUUUCUCAGCCGAGGAUACCAGCACCCGUUCUGGUGUAGGUGGCAGGGAGGUGAAAUGCACUCUGUGAGGGUUCUUAGCCUUGGUGGUUUAAUGCUCUAUUUCUGUGCUGGUUGGCCUCCUGCCGGGAGGUGGCACAUUGCAGAGAGCAUCAGCUGUGAAGAGUAUAGAGAGGAACCGGCGGUGGGCGGGGCCCUAGAACUCCCAAGAUAUGCCCUUUGCCUUCAGCUACCAGGGUGGGUAGGGAAGGACCAUCAGGUGGGGGCAGGGCUAGGCGUGUCUGAGCUCAGACUCUCCUUGGGUGGGUCUUGCUGUGGCUGCUGUGGGGGAUGGGGGUAAGGUUCCCAGGUCAGUGGAGCUGUGGCUAGGAGGAUUAUGGCUGCCUUUGCUUAGUCAUGCAGGUUGUCGCAGAAGUGGGAGAAAACCGGCAGUCACAGGCCUCACCCAGCUCCCACACAAUCUGAAGGGUUGGUCUCACUCCCACUGUGCCACCCCUAACAGCACAGAGUCUGUUUCCAGGCAGUGGGCGAGCAGUGCUGAGAACUUGUCCCAGGCUACCUGCCUCCCAGCUGCAAAAGAGAAGGGCUUUAGUUCUUCUCCCACCUGUAGAGUCUGUAAGCUGGAUUCAUGCCCUCCCCCAAGUUCUGGCCAGGAGGCUUCUCGACCUCGGUUCAAAUUGUUACAAAGUUCAGCUGGAGAUUUCCUUCUCCCUGUGGCGUUUUCUCCGUGCCCCUGGCUGCCCUCCCAAAGGAUCCCUGUGAUGCUGGGCAGGAACGGCCUGUUUGGGUACCCAGCGAGCUCCCAGGGCCUUUCCAGCUGCUUCCUCUGCCCCUGCAUUUCACUCGGCUCUCUAAACUGACUCAGCUCCAGGCAAAGCUGUUUGCAUAUUAGCCCUGAAGCUUGUGCAGUGAGGCAGGAUAGAGGAAUGGGAACAGCUGGAGCCAGAGAGACCUGCUGGGAAUCUGGGCUCAGCCACUUUUGACCUGCAUGGUUUCUUGCAAGUCAGCUCAGAGCUGGACCAAAGCAGCUGUCGAUCCUUUGCCUCUUUGCACUUUGGAGCCCAGUCCUGAUGGGACCAGGUAAUCCAGGUGUCAGAGCCCUGCCAAAUCUGUGAGAAGGGUGGAAGCAAGUUUCCCUGAGGGAAAAAAAAACAACAAAAAAAAACCUUCUGGAAUUGGGAAAAAUUUAGGUCAACAUCAUUUGAACCUUGACCUCUUGCUCUUUUGUCCCCGGGUGGACAUUUCCUUGACCUCCAGAAAUUCCUCCACCUCAAGGGAAGACUUCUUGCCCCCCUCACUUCCAGAGGCCUCCAAAGUGGGCUGGGAAGAGAUUUAAAGCAGGACCCUGGGAAGCAUGAUGAGACUCUGGAGUGUAGAGAGGCUUCCCUGCAAUGCAAAGAUCUUCAAAGGCCAAGCCCAAGGCACUGCAACCCCCAGGAGGGCCCACUCCAAAGCAGAACAGUGGAGGGAGAGCCUGCGUGUCAAGAAGCCUGGACAGCAAGACCCCCUACUGUGGCAGCCAGCCUGCUUGUAGGAGUCCUGAGAAGCCUAAUUCAAUUACCCUUAUCAGAAUGUCUCUGAACUUAACAAAGCAGAUAAUGAGUUCCAGAGACAGAUACUGCUUGGGGGGCCAAAAUUAUUUUGCUUCCCCAAAUUGGAGGCUGAAAUUGGAGAUGUUUGAAUAAUGGAAAACAUAAUCCUUCCCUAGGCCCAACCCCCUCCCAGUACCCACACCUGAGACACCCUUUCAACCAAGGAGCCUGGAUUCAACAUCCAUGCCGUCUCUCCUCCUGAAGACACCUGGUCAUGAACUCGACCUCUUUCCCCCACCAUCUUUGUGCCAUCGAUGGAAGGAAGCUGCGUACAGGAUGGAAGUGGGAGGGGAAAGGGAUUAACAUUUAUGGAGCCCUCCCCUCUAUGUGUCAGCUACAUAACACAUAGCAUUCAUUUCAACCACAGAACAUAUGUCUUUACAUUACAGAAGGCAACGGAGAACUGGAAAAGUUAACUUACUGCCUGAGGACCCAUCCCCAUCUCACCAGCAGCACAGUCAGAUUCAGACACAGGUAUUCAACUUUGCAACACACUGUGCCUCACGGCCUGUGUGCUCAACAUCAGAAAUCAAAUAGAAACUCCCUCAUUCUAAGAUUCAUAGCCAUCCUCCGAGAUAUGACAUAGCGACCUCUCCUCCGUGAACAGGGAAACAGACUGAGAGGAUAACCUAACUCUCCCAAGGCCAGAGUAUCCACUGGGAUAUGCAGCCAAGUCAGCCAGCAGUUGAAACAAGGGCUCUCUGUGCUAUCUCACAUCUGAAUUGAAUUGUUUCCUACAGACUUCUCAUAGCUCUCUAGGCAAGGAAUACAUCUUCUCACCUUCCCACACUAAGAAAGGCCUCUGUCUGAGCCUGGGUGCCGGGUGGCCAGGAUUCCUGCUGAACGUUCAGGAGCUUUCCAUCUCCAGAGGUGAGCUCCUAGUUCCUGCUUACCUUAGAACUGUAGAACAUAUAAUGUUACCACUGAAAAGAACCUCUCGUAUAGUUGGAUCACACCCUUUACCUAUUUAUUUAAAUGUACUGUUUUAAUUAUGUAACAUUUGAUAUGUGCAGGAUAAUAUGUAUGCAAAUUAUAAAGCAUAAUAAUAAAACCUGUGAACCCACCACUCAACCUUAGAACCAGACCAUUACAAUUGAUGUCCCUCCUACUUCCCCAACAGAAAUAACCACUGUCCGGGACUUUAUGUUUAUAGCCCCACCCCCCACAAUGAUUUUUAUAGUUUUGCCAAAUAUGUUAGCAUGGUAGAUUGCAUUAUUGCUCUGAGUUAAAUAUCCUUCCUUUGACAUAUAAUUUGGCAGUUCCUUCCAUUGGAAGUGAAAUACAUUUCUCUGCCCAAGAUGUUAGAUUUGCUUUGGUCAGUAGAAUGUUGCAGGCUGUGACGGUGAAAAUUCUGAGCCCAGGCCUUAAGAGGAAUCACCUGUUUCCACAUUCCCCACUUGUAUUUCUGCCUCUGCCAUGAGAAAAACAUGCUUCAGGUCACCUGCUGCUCCAAGGAGGAUGAGAGACCUAUGGGGAAGACCUGGACCCAAUCUGAAGUUAGAACUAAGUGCAACUGAGCCCAGCCUGGAUUAACCAACUCCCAGCCAAUCCACAGACACCUGGGUAAGAAUACAUGAAUGUUGUCAGCCACUGAGUUUUGGAGUCAUUUGUUAGGCAGCAUUAUUGUGGCAAUAGCUGACUGAUAUACUAUGUAUCCCUGAACAGCAUAUUGUUUACUUUUGCUUUUUUUUUUAGCUUUGAAAGAUGGUAAUUAAUAUUGCAUGUCAUUAUCUAAUAUUUACUUUUCUUUCCCACUCAACAUGAUAUGUCUGAGAUCUAUGCAGUAGAAUAUAAUACAGCAGUAUAAAUGAACUACAGCAGCAGCCCUCUCAGUUUAGAGAUGAGGAAAAGCAAAAGACCCGGAGAGUUCAUGAAGGGCUGAACUGGCUUGGAAGCCCAAGUGUCAUUCCUUCAGCAGAUAUUUAUUGAACAUAAACUGAGCACUCACCUCAGUGCUAAGAAUAUAAAGGGGAACUGGACACAUAAGGUUCUUGUCCUCUUGAGUUACAGAGGUCAUUUCAUAGAAAGAAUGCAAGGCCACAUCUGUGCCCCCUAUCAUAUCAUUGCCAAGGUUUCCUUAUUGCCUCUGCCCUGCCUGCUGUUUCCCCCAUUCAGUUCACCACCUCCUGUCCCUGGAGGCAAUAAUGUAAUUAAGGCAGUAUGUGAAGACAGCACGCAGAAACUGUGAUGUGGAUAGCUCUCCUUGGAGAUCUGCUGGCAGACUGACUUCCAGGAAAAAGAGCCAAAGUACUUGGGAAAUGCAGACCCAAGGACUGAUCACUUUUGGGAGGUAGGUUUAUUUUUCUGCAGAUGACACUUGUCUAGAGGGAACUGGCAGUUUUCUGACUAGAGAUGGCCCUGUAGUGAGCUUAGCAGCUCCAUGGACUUAGUACCUGGGUGACCACCGUCAGCAGAGAAGCAUGUUUGGAAGACAGAGAACCAAUGAGGGAUGUUUCACACUCUUGAGGAGUUUGCCGUCAAAAAGCAAAGCAGGAUAAGCAAAAAAUGCAUGUCCUCAAACCCCAGAUAACAAACACAAAACAUCAUAGAUAGAACCAGAGCUGAGGUAGAUACACAUGGAUUCACCAUAUGCAGGUACAUGUAGAUUAGGAUGGAUGUCAGGACGUCCAGAGUGGCUGAAAUGACUGCUCCAUACUGUCAUUCCAUAGACAGGUGUCUUUUGUUUCUCUAGAGCAUUUGAGUAGUUCCCAUGAGUUGCCAUUUAUUUCGUGCUUUGGAAAAACACAGUAAGAAUCCCUUCACAUUGAAACUAGACUGAACACAACCGCAUACUCCUCAAUGAUUCAGAAGGCGUUCCAGGGCGUUGCAGGCCCUCAGGGACAUCAUUAGGAAAAUAGGUUACUGUAGAAACUGAAGGAACAGCAUCCUGAUAAUAUGAGGUUUCACAGUGAUUGGGUCCUGGAUAAAGAAGUUAUUUUCGGUAAUGAAG